rnacentral:rRNA from 1 species
GAUGAACGCUGGCGGCGUGCCUAAUACAUGCAAGUCGAGCGAGAAAUUGAUUAUUGAAACUUCGGUAGAUUUAAUCAAUGGAAAGCGGCGGACGGGUGAGUAACGCGUAGGCAACCUGCCCUUAGCAGAGGGAUAGCCAUUGGAAACGAUGAUUAAAACCUCAUAAUGCUGCGGUAACACAUGCUACUGCAGCCAAAGAUUUAUCGGCUAAGGAUGGGCCUGCGUCUGAUUAACUAGUUGGUGAGGUAACGGCCCACCAAGGUGACGAUCAGUAGCCGACCUGAGAGGGUGAUCGGCCACAUUGGAACUGAGACACGGUCCAAACUUCUACGGAAGGCAGCAGUAAGGAAUCUUGCACAAUGGGGGAAACCCUGAUGCAGCAACGCCGCGUGAACGAUGAAGGCCUUCGGGUUGUAAAGUUCUGAUCUUAGGGAAGAAGAAAGUGACGGUACCUAAGGAGAAAGCCCCGGCUAACUACGUGCCAGCAGCCGCGGUAAUACGUAGGGGGCAAGCGUUAUCCGGAAUUAUUGGGCGUAAAGCGUGCGUAGGUGGUUACCUAAGCGCAAGGUUUAAUCUUGAGGCUCAACCUCAUUCUGCCUUGCGAACUGGGCUACUUGAGUGCAGGAGGGGAAAGCGGAAUUCCUAGUGUAGCGGUGAAAUGCGUAGAUAUUAGGAAGAACACCAGAGGCGAAGGCGGCUUUCUGGACUGUAACUGACACUGAGGCACGAAAGCGUGGGGAGCAAACAGGAUUAGAUACCCUGGUAGUCCACGCCGUAAACGAUGAGCACUAGUUGUUGGGUCCGAAUGGAUUCAGUGACGCAGUUAACGCAAUAAGU